UAUAACAGUAGUCACAGGAAUGAGGUCAUAACUGAGGCUAGGCUUCAACUGCAUAGUGGGUAAGGGCAGCUUCAGAUACAGAGUAAGACUGUUUUCAAAUGCAAAGGCAAAUGGAAGAUCAAGAAGAUGAAAUGAAAACGCUCAGACAAGCCUUGUGUUAAUACAAUAAAAGGGUGAUGAUGAAGAUGAAGACGAUCUUGGAGGCUGAAUAAAAAAUUUGGAAGGGGCAGAUGGAUCCACUGAAACAUUAUGGUUCCCUCAGCUCCUCCAGCCCCAGGCCAUCGAUGGAGAUGGGCAUGAAGACAGCGGAAGUCACCAGAAAGACAGCAAACCUCCAGCUAACAGCUAACCCUGUCUCAAAAUAAUUAAUUAAUUAAUUAAUUAAAAGUAAAUAAAUAAGAAGGAGUGGAUGUCAAAACACAGUCUAAGAAUGAUUCUGAAUACUUGUUAAAAAAAAAAAAAACUUGUAAAAGAAAACAAGACCAAGAGUCUUGAGGCCUCAGUUUCUUCAAAAUCACAGACUUGCUCUUGGCAUGUGCAUUCAUGCCCCGCCCAGAUGUAGCAGAUAGGAGUUCCCUUUAAAGUAUUUAUUACAGUUGGCUAUUAUUUG
rnacentral:lncRNA from 1 species